CACGUAGGGGGCAAGCGUUGUCCGGAUUUAUUGGGCGUAAAGAGCUCGUAGGUGGUUCGAUAAGUCGGGUGUGAAACCUCCAGGCUCAACCUGGAGACGCCACCCGAUACUGUCGUGACUAGAGUCCAGUAGGGGAGCGUGGAAUUCCUGGUGUAGCGGUGAAAUGCGCAGAUAUCAGGAGGAACACCAGCGGCGAAGGCGGCGCUCUGGGCUGGCACUGACACUGAGGAGCGAAAGCAUGGGGAGCGAACAGG
rnacentral:rRNA from 1 species